rnacentral:rRNA from 1 species
CCUACGGGAGGCGGCAUUGAGGAAUAUUGGUCAAUGGGCGCGAGCCUGAACCAGCCAAGUCGCGUGAAGGAUGACUGCCCUACGGGUUGUAAACUUCUUUUAUAAAGGAAUAAAGUGAGGCACGUGUGCCUUUUUGUAUGUACUUUAUGAAUAAGGAUCGGCUAACUCCGUGCCAGCAGCCGCGGUAAUACGGAGGAUCCGAGCGUUAUCCGGAUUUAUUGGGUUUAAAGGGAGCGUAGAUGGGUUGUUAAGUCAGUUGUGAAAGUUUGCGGCUCAACCGUAAAAUUGCAAUUGAUACUGGAAGCCUUGAGUACAGUUGAGGUAGGCGGAAUUCGUGGUGUAGCGGUGAAAUGCUUAGAUAUCACGAAGAACUCCGAUUGCGAAGGCAGCUUACUAAACUGCCACUGACAUUGAUGCUCGAAAGUGUGGGUAUCAAACAGGAUUAGAUACCCUAGUAGUC